AUGUGUUUGUAUUCCCCCAAGGACUAAUCCACUUCCAGUUCAACCCGGUCCCUGACAAGCCAGCAGUCGCGCUCGCUGCUCUAAGUAGCCAGAACCCUGGAGCUAUUACUAUUGCCAAUGCAGUCUUUGGAUCAAAGCCACCUAUCUCAAAUGAUGUACUAGCUAAGGCCUUUCAAGUGCAAAAGGGGACAAUUGAUUGGCUUCAAGCUCAGUUUUGGGAGAACAACCACAACUGAAAAAAUAAAUCAAGUUACGGUUCAUUGUAUGGGAAUAUAAUGUUUAUUUACAUUUUACAUACUACUCUAUGUAUUUGUUUUUUCUAGACUUUCAGCUGAUAAUAAAAUAAAUGGAUUGUAUUUAUGUACUAUAAUUGUAAUUGUGUCCCAACUGUGGUUCUACCACCAUCUCCUUAAUCGAAAGUGCAUGUAUUGUAUAUGGCACUCUCUCGUUUCCCAUUUUAUUGAGAUGGUUCAUAUAUUAAGCCUUCUCUACAACUGCCUACCGUUCAUAUUAUAAGCCAUCUCUAGAACGAUUGACAUAAUUACACCACUCCUAAAAUUCCACUAUUAUCAGGAAUGAUUAUCAUAAAAGAAUUGUCCUUAAAGAUCACAUUUCAUGGGUGGAUUCUUAUGCCAACCGUUCUUGAAAAAGAGAAGAUUUCUACUCAAAAGGUGCUAGCUAGAAUGGUCGAGGACCAAAAAAAAUUCAUAGAUUUUCAAAUAUAGUCAUUAAGUGACAAGCUUUAUAUCAAAUUUGUAAAGCCCAACAAAAUCUAAAACUUUAUAGGUAACAACUUUUUAUUUAAGACCAUUUACAGACCUAAAUAUAUGUUUUGUCUUCGAAGAGUUGAAAAUCUAGACUUUCAAAUUCCAUUUCUAGUGGCAGUGGGCUUCCAUUUUCCACCGUCAACACUUCUAUAAAAAACUCUUAUAUAAUUAUAUAGUGGUUUGAUAUUUUUAUACAUGGCAUACCAGUAAUAUAAAUUCAACGUUAUGCUUAAUUGGUCUCUUUGCUUCUAGCACACAACGUUGAUGUUGUUGGAUUGUGAUAGUUGCGUAAACAAGAAAAAUAUUUCAUUGGACUACCUAAUUAUGCUUUGCUACACAUACCGCUUUUAUUCCGAACAUCAUGGAGGGAGUGGUAGUCUUACAUGAGACUAUUCAUGAACUGCAUCGAAAGAAGCAAAAUGGUGUAAUUCUCAAGAUAGACUUUGAGAAGGCUUAUGAUAAAAUGAGGUGGAGUUUUGUUCAAUAAACUUUGCGGAUGAAAGGUUUCUUAGAUAAACGGUGCUCUUGGAUUAAUGCUUUCAUUAGGGGUGGUCAUGUGGCAAUCAAAACAAAUGAUCAGUUGGGACAGUUUUUCAAACGAAAAAGGGGCUACGACAAGGUGAUCCCUUAUCUCCUCUCUUGUUUAAUAUUGUAGUUGACAUGUUGGCUUAUUAACCAAUAGAGCGAAACAAGUGGGUCAAUUAUCCGGCUUGGUGCCACAUUUGGUGGAUGGUGGCUUGUCGAUUCUCCAAUAUGCGGAUGACACCAUUCUGUUUAGGGUUCACGAUUUCGAGAAAGCAGUGAAUACAAAAAUGCUUUUAUGUGCUUUUGAGCAGUUAUCAGGGCUCAAAAUUAAUUUCCACAAAAGUGAGGUUUAUUGCUUUGGAGAACCAAAAACUCAAGAACAUCAAUACGCACAGCUCUUUGGUUGUAGAAAAGGGGAUUACCCGUUUAGAUACUUAGGUUUACCAAUGCAUUAUAGAAAACUAAGUGUGGCAGAUUGGAAGAUAACCGAGAACGAAUUUGAAAAGAAAUUAUCCAGCUGGAAAGGGAAAUACAUGUUCGUGGGUGGAAGGCUAGUUCUUAUUAACUCUACCCUUACAAGCCUUGCGAUGUUUAUGAUGUCUUUUUUUGAGAUCCCAAGAGGUGUUUUGGAAAAAAUGGACUAUUACAGAUCGCGGGUUUUUUUGGCAAGGGGAGGAUAAUAAGAAAACGUAUAGACUAACCAAGUGGAGUAUCAUCUGUCAACCAAGGGAGGUGGGGGUUUAGGGGUGAAAAACAUUGAUACACAAAACAAAUGCCUCUUAAGCAAAUGGUUGUUUAAACUUCUGAAUGAGGAGGGUUUAUGGCAAACCAUGUUGUAGAGGAAAUACUUGCAACAACAUACAUCACAAGCUCAACGUAGACCCUCUGAUUCGCAUUUCUGGAAGGGGCUUCUAAAAGUUAGAGAUAACUUCCUAAACUUUGGAUCCUUUCAACUUAACAUUGGCACACAUAUUAGGUUUUGGGAGGACAAAUGGUUGAGGAUAGGCAUUCUAAAAGAAAUAUACCCGCAACUAUAUGCAUUGGUUCGACAAAAAAAUGUGGUGGUUGCUAAUAUCUUCCAAACCAUUCCGCUGAAUAUUUCUUUUCGUCGGGGUCUAGUGGGGCAGCUACGCGAACAAUGGAUGGAUUUAGUGGCUCAUCUUGUUCAUGUUCGAUUAAACAUAGCGAGUGACACGUUCCAUUGGGACUUGUCGACGGAUGGAUCCUUUAGUGUUCAUUCGAUGUACAAGGUGCUAAUAACUAAUGUCAAUGUGGCGUGGCACAAAGAAAUUUGGAAGGCUAAGAUUCCUUUGAAGAUUAAAAUCUUCAAGUGGUAUUUAUAUAGUGGUGUUGUACUUACCAAAGAUAAUUUACUCAAGCGUAAUUGGAAGGGAAAUGCAAAAUGUUCUUUUUGUACCCAGAAUGAGACAAUUGAUCAUCUUUUUUCCACAACCAACUUGCUAAAUUUAUUUGGUGUUUAGUUCGAAUCAUAUAUGGUGUUCGCCACCAAACAAUAUCAGACAUAUCUUUGGUUCUUGGUUAACUGGUCUAGAUAAUAGAAUGAGAAGUCACUUUAUUCUAGCAGCUUCGGCUAUAUGUUGGGCAAUCUGGUUGAGCAGGAAUGAUGCAGUGUUUGAUAUUGCUCCAAUAAAAUCUUCUUUGCAGGUGGUUUUUGGGGCUACGCAUUGGCUCCACUUCUGGACUCAACUACAACUUAGACAGGAUGAUCAAGAACUAAUAAUCAAGGAUGGCGUAGAUUGGAGGAGUUGAUGAUGCAGAUUUUUAGACAUCAUGGAUGGGGAUCCGCAUUUAGACUUUGUCUUUAGUCUCGUUUCGCCGCACUAUGUUUUGCUUUUCUCUGAGUUCUCAUAUAGUGAUAUUCCUAUAUGAGUCUGUCAUAUUCGGUUAUAGUCUCUUUGUGACAAAGGCCGGGAACUUUCAAUUCCCAUUAUCUAAAAAAUGUACAUAGAAAGAGUCAACUCACAAAAAUAUAGAAAUAGUCACCAAUGCUUGUUUGUCUUGUCUGUCAGCUCCACACCAAACCAACAUUUGUCGUACACAUUUUAAUAGAUCAAGCACUUGAUAGCUUCUUUCAAUUGUCAUAUUAAAAAUUUAGAUUGCUGCUAGGUCCAUAUUGUUUUUCUUGAACAAAUUUACUUUUAUUUUUGUCAUCUGAAGAAAUGUUCAAAAUAUAAAUUAUACAUCAUAAUGAGUUAUACAAAUUUGUAGUUGAAAACCUUUUCAUAUGAAUUAAUUUACUGCUUUAAAAUGUGAUUUUUAAAUUGUCUUUGUCGAGUGUUAAAAAACACUCGGCAAAGAGCUUCUUUGCCGAGUGUUUUCUUUUACCGAGAGUUUUUUGCUUGGCACUCGGAAAAAACACUCGGCAAAACAAUUGGCACUCGGCAAAAAGCAGAAUUCCGGUAGUGGCCUUUUAUAUUAUUUAGAUGGCCACGUUCAGUUGUUACUAUAGCUAAUUAUAGACGAAGGAAAUUCGGAUAUGAGACGCAGGUCAAUAGAAAUUAAUAAUUUUUCACCAGCUGUCCAAUAGAGUCCGAUGAAAACUAAGUGAUUUGGAGCUAUUUCAUAGCGGCAUUUCGUUCUUCCUUUCUCACGACUCUACUCUCCACACAUCUAGCUCCCCAUGCUCGCGUCGUUGCUCUAUGACACCUCGCACCCGUUUGCACCAACACCGACUUCUCUAUCUCGAGCAGUGUCCACCAUCGUUCUCGUAUGUGUCUAGAAAAGUGAGUUUAAUUUUUGUCGGCCACCCACGCACGCAAUUUGAAUUUAUUAAGCUCAUAAGUAUUGAUCAUUGCAUGGUUAAUUUAAUAUUAGUUUGGUCAACCUAGUUACAAUAUAAUAUUUGUUGGUUAGUUUUUUAUAAUUAGAUUUUACAUUUAUCUACUAGCAAUUUUUUGUGUUUAAAUAUAAUACGGUAUUAUCAAAUAAUUUAAUUUUUAAAAGCAUAUAAAAUAUCGAUAGGUUCAUAAAUUGUAUGUCAAUCGUUUCGAUCGGCAUACUUCAUAUGUGCCUCACAUGUGAGAUAUAUUGUUUUAGAAUCAUUUCUAUUUGGACAGUUUUAUGACAACUGACUAUAUGCUAUUUAUGGACAAUCUAGGUUUGCCGAGGGUGUGUAAAGGAACAUGGUGAAAAGAUAAUAAAAUUAUGCAUAAGCAACUUAAUAUUUUUAUAUAUGUCAUAUCAUCACUACUAGAAAAAUGGUCUUUAAUUUACAAACAACGAGGUGUGUUGUUACUAAAAAUGGCAAUGGAGCGUUGAUUCGUGAUUUUCCGAGGAGAAUUCCUUCAUUAGAGGAUGAGAAGUUUUUCCCCCACGGGAAUGUAAAUGGGGAAUAAUUCUCCCCGACGAGUAAACAGGGAUAGAGAUGGCCAGGGAAUUAUUUCACAUCCCGGUUUCCCUUGGGAGCGUUAAACUUGCACAUGGCAAUGAUGUCAUCUAACCGUUAAUAAUAAAAAUAAAUAAUUACCAUAUUAAGAGAUCACUUAUUAUACAAAUAUGUUCAUUUUGAUGUAUGCAUAACAAUUUCUUACAUCAGAUAAUGUGUCUAAGUAAAAGUGUUUUGUAUUAAUAACAAAGAACGUAUGUCCUAAUUAUAAUUUAAUCAGGGACGAGUACCCUGUGGGGGAUUUAUCCUGUGGGGAAUGAGGAUGGGUAAAAAAGAUAUCCCCUAUUGAGAAAAAAAUUGUCACGGAAACGGGAUAGAGAGCUAUUCUCCAACAAGAAAUUUUCCGUUGCCAUCGUUAAUUGUUUCGGUUGGUUUGUUGUGGAACUGAAAGAUGUAUUUAUUCCCCAAUUCACAAAAGCAAAAAAAUGGUCAAAAAGUAAACACUAGGAAAAAUAAUCUAAUCUGACUCGUCAAUUGGUCAUGGAUGAUGAUACGCAGAUUGUUGGAUAUAGUUACGACGCUAUAUGAGGUGCAAAAAGUAAUUAAAGAUAUUACUCUCUACGUACUUUUUUAAUUGCCGCGGUUUAGUUUAAAAAUUAACUAGCAAGCAACAAAUAUUCGAGAACGGAGGUAGUAUAUACGAAGGUGGUGUGCUUUAAUUUCUCGCUGUUGACUUCUUUUUUUGGGCUGGGUGGGGGGGGGGAGGGGUGACUCUUUCAAUAUAUGUUGGUGAGCACAAGAUUAGAGACAUGUUUGUUUCGCUGUCUAACUUACUACACAUUGUCAAACUUUUCUGUUUAAAAUUAGUUCUUCAAUUCGGACCACUAAUCUUAAGCAAAUAGACCCUAGAUGGUUCAAUAAACAUUUUUUCUUGUUUAGCCAACUAUCACAGUCCAGCAACGGCAACACGGUCUUCAACAAAAUUGAAAGGACAGAGUACACGAAAAGUAUGGUAGGUUUAAACGUUCAAUUAAGAUGCUGGGCAGGUUCUAGAUGCUGGAGACUACUUCAAGUCGCCUGAUUACUAGACAUUUUAAAAUUUGGUUCACGUACUAUGUGAUUACUAGAAAUCUUCAACACGUAUGCAUGGUUUAAACACUGAAAUAAGAUAACCUGUAUUGUGUCAUCAGCAGGUCCGGGCUGCUAGAGACUAUUUCUUCAGGUCGGCUGAUAUGUUCAACCAAAGACUUAUUCAGCCACUGAUAUGUACACGUCGCCACAUGCGCUGUGGCAGGCUAUAUAACCUCACCAUCUCCAUGCCCAAAGCAUCAACAACAUACACACAAGCAAAACAAAAAGCUAAGAAGCUCCGUAGCUAAAUUCAGAUAUUACAAACACAAAAAAGGAGUGCAGAACCAAAAUGGCUGCCUCGACCUUCCUUCUCAUUGCUUUUCUAGCAUUGAUCACUUCUCAGGCCAUUGCCUCUGAUCCUAGCCCGCUCCAAGACUUCUGUGUUGCCGAUAAAGACUCUCCGGGUAUGAGUGCUCUCCUUUUGACUCAAGCAGUGUUCUUAUAAUAUAUACCUGAUUAAAUAAGGAUCAUUUGUUCAAACACACAUCUACAUACAAUAAGCAUUUCGGGGUAUAUAUAUGCAUGUCCUAUUAACCUGUUCUCCAUCUAACUGUUUGUCUUCGUCUAUGCAUGCAUCCAGUGAAGGUGAAUGGAUUUGUUUGCAAGGACCCUAUGGCUGUGAACGCUGACGACUUCUUCAAGGCUGCAAAACUUGACCAGCCAAGGGACACCACCAAAAGCAAGGUGGGAUCCAACGUUACUCUAAUCAAUGUCAUGCAGCUGCCUGGACUCAACACGUUGGGGAUCUCGUUGGCUCGCAUUGACUACGCACCAUUAGGUCAGAAUCCUCCACACACACACCCACGUGCCACUGAGAUCCUCACUGUGCUUGAGGGGACACUCUACGUCGGAUUUGUCACCUCCAACCAAGCUGAUAGAAGCAACAGGCUAUUUGCCAAGGUUCUCAACAAGGGCGAUGUGUUUGUAUUCCCCCAAGGACUAAUCCACUUCCAGUUCAACCCAGUACAUGACAAGCCAGCAGUCGCGCUCGCUGCUCUAAGUAGCCAGAACCCUGGAGCUAUUACUAUUGCCAAUGCAGUCUUUGGAUCAAAGCCACCUAUCUCGGAUGAUGUCCUAGCUAAGGCCUUUCAAGUGCAAAAGGGGACAAUUGAUUGGCUUCAAGCUCAGUUCUAGGAGAACAACCACUACUGAAAAA
rnacentral:lncRNA from 1 species